GUUGCUACGUUUCAUGAAGAUGUAUAUAUUGAAGAGACGAACGGUCAGAAUGCUUUUUUUUUUGUUAACGGGCUCUCAGAACUCCAAAAACCUUCAAAAUGGAUCGGUCACAGCCCAUUAUCUGUCUGAACGAAUGAACCACGAAACUAGCCCAUGUCAGCCCAGGCCUAGCAGGCUAGCAGCCCACAACCCAAAACCCUCGCUUCGCCGAACCUGUCUCCACUCUAGGCUCCAGCACUCCACGCGGCGGAAGGCCAUUCCCAUUUCCACCCAC
rnacentral:lncRNA from 1 species